AGAGUUUGAUCAUGGCUCAGAUUGAACGCUGGCGGCAUGCCUUACACAUGCAAGUCGAACGGCAGCGCGGGGCAACUUGGCGGCGAGUGGCGAACGGGUGAGUAAUAUAUCGGAACGUGCCCUGGAGUGGGGGAUAACGCAGCGAAAGUUGCGCUAAUACCGCAUACGAUCUAAGGAUGAAAGCAGGGGACCGCAAGGCCUUGUGCUCCUGGAGCGGCCGAUAUCUGAUUAGCUAGUUGGUGGGGUAAAGGCCUACCAAGGCAUCGAUCAGUAGCUGGUCUGAGAGGACGACCAGCCACACUGGAACUGAGACACGGUCCAGACUCCUACGGGAGGCAGCAGUGGGGAAUUUUGGACAAUGGGCGAAAGCCUGAUCCAGCAAUGCCGCGUGAGUGAAGAAGGCCUUCGGGUUGUAAAGCUCUUUUGUCAGGGAAGAAACGGUGCGGGCUAAUAUCCCGCACUAAUGACGGUACCUGAAGAAUAAGCACCGGCUAACUACGUGCCAGCAGCCGCGGUAAUACGUAGGGUGCAAGCGUUAAUCGGAAUUACUGGGCGUAAAGCGUGCGCAGGCGGUUUUGUAAGUUUGUCGUGAAAGCCCCGGGCUCAACCUGGGAAUUGCGAUGAAGACUGCAAGGCUUGAAUCUGGCAGAGGGGGGUAGAAUUCCACGUAGCAGUGAAAUGCGUAGAGAUGUGGAGGAACACCGAUGGCGAAGGCAGCCCCCUGGGUCAAGAUUGACGCUCAUGCACGAAAGCGUGGGGAGCAAACAGGAUUAGAUACCCUAGUAGUCC
rnacentral:rRNA from 1 species